rnacentral:rRNA from 1 species
GCCCCAGACUCCUACGGGAGGCAGCAGUGGGGGAUAUUGCACAAUGGGGGAAACCCUGAUGCAGCGACGCCGCGUGGGUGAAGAAGCGCUUCGGCGCGUAAAGCCCUGUCAGCAGGGAAGAAAAUGACGGUACCUGAAGAAGAAGCCCCGGCUAACUACGUGCCAGCAGCCGCGGUAAUACGUAGGGGGCAAGCGUUAUCCGGAUUUACUGGGUGUAAAGGGGGCGCAGGCGGCGAUGCAAGCCAGGAGUGAAAGCCCGGGGCCCAACCCCGGGACUGCUCUUGGAACUGCGUGGCUGGAGUGCAGGAGGGGCAGGCGGAAUUCCUGGUGUAGCGGUGAAAUGCGUAGAUAUCAGGAGGAACACCGGUGGCGAAGGCGGCCUGCUGGACUGCAACUGACGUUGAGGCCCGAAAGCGUGGGGAGCAAACAGGAUUAGAUACCCGAGUA